rnacentral:rRNA from 1 species
GCGUAAUACGUGAGAAUCUGCCCCUAGGAGAAGAAUAACUGCUGGAAACGGCUGCUAAAUCUUCAUAUGUCGAGAGAUGAAAUAGUUUAGGCUGCCUAGGGAUGAGCUCGCGCCUGAUUACCUAGUUGGUGAGGUAAUGGCUCACCAAGGCCACGAUCAGUAGCUGGUUUGAGAGAACGAUCAGCCACACUGGGACUGAGACACGGCCCAGACUCCUCCGGGAGGCAGCAGUGAGGAAUUUUCCGCAAUGGGCGAAAGCCUGACGGAGCAAUACCGCGUGAGGGAUGAAGGAUUUUGGUCUGUAAACCUCUUUUCUCAAGAAAGAAGUUCUGACGGUACUUGAGGAAUAAGCAUCGGCUAACUCCGUGCCAGCAGCCGCGGUAAUACGGGGGAUGCAAGCGUUAUCCGGAAUCAUUGGGCGUAAAGCGCCUG